rnacentral:rRNA from 1 species
CCUACGGGGGGCUGCAGUGGGGAAUAUUGGACAAUGGGGGCAACCCUGAUCCAGCAAUGCCGCGUGUGUGAAGAAGGCCUGCGGGUUGUAAAGCACUUUUGUUGAGGAAGAACGCGUUGGGGUUAAUAGCCUCAAUGUUUGACGUUACUCAAAGAAAAAGCACCGGCUAACUCCGUGCCAGCAGCCGCGGUAAUACGGAGGGUGCAAGCGUUACUCGGAAUUACUGGGCGUAAAGCGUUAAUAGGCGUGGGAAAUCCCCGGGCUUAACCUGGGAAUUGCAUUGGAUACUGGUGUGCUCGAAUGUGGUAGAGGGUGGCGGAAUUUCUGGUGUAGCGGUGAAAUGCGUAGAUAUCAGAAAGAACACCAAUGGCGAAGGCAGCCACCUGGGCCAACAUUGACGCUGAGGUACGAAAGCGUGGGGAGCAAACAGGAUUAGAUACCCUAGUAGUC